GCCCGCCUAGCUCAAUCGGAUAGAGCGUCAGACUCUUACAAAAGCUAGGCAAUCUGAAGGCUGCGAGUUCGACCCUCGCGGUGGGCU